UACGUAGGCAGCAAGCGUUGUUCGGAGUUACUGGGCGUAAAGGGUGUGUAGGCGGUUUUCUAAGUCUGGUGUGAAAUCUCCCGGCUCAACUGGGAGGGUGCGCCGAAAACUGGAAGGCUAGAGUGCGGGAUGGGAGAGUGGAAUUCCUGGUGUAGCGGUGAAAUGCGUAGAUAUCAGGAGGAACACCGGUGGCGAAGGCGGCUACCUGGACAGAAACUGACGCUGAGGCGCGAAAGCUAGGGGAGCAAACAGG
rnacentral:rRNA from 1 species